UGGAUAUUGGUCGAGUGACUAGUUUGGAAGCUAAUCACAAACAUGUAGAUAUUGCCAGGAAAGGAAUGGAGGUGUGUAUUAAGGUAGAACCACUUCCUAGUGACACCCCAAAGAUGAUUGGUCGACACUUUGAUGAAACCGACAUACUAGUGAGCAAGAUUUCCAGGAACUCGAUAGAUGCUGUAAAAAAUUACUUCCGUGAGGACAUGUUGAAACAGGACUGGCAACUCAUGGUCGAACUCAAAAAAAGAUUCGAAAUUUUAUGAAAUCCCAGGAUAUCUGCAUACAUGGUUUGGAUGAAAGACGAAAUAAAGGAAGCAGUUUGGAAUUACAGAUUGGUGCUUGGUCCUCAAAAUAUAUGAUCUGACCGCUGGAAAGUUUUAUGAAAUAUUUCCAAGCUUAUGAGCAUGCUUUGUUCUAGUUGCUGACCAAUGGAGAAUAUGCAAAAGGCAUGACAAAAAUCCAGAGAUUAUAUAGGGGAAUGGCAUGGUAUUGAUGAUUUAAGAAGUAAAACCUUGAUGUAAAGAAUCAAUUCACAAAUCUGUUGUGCCUUUACCUCUGGGAGGUAUUGUCAUAUAGAUGUUGGUCAGAAGACUUAUUGUAAAUUUGUCUGAAAAUUCUAUCAUUAAACAAGUAUAUUUGUCCCAUGUAUAUUUUUGCUGAUGGACACAAAAUUGGUAUCGUUAGUGCUAAGAGACUUUGUAAUGAUAGAGUAUCAGAAACUUAAUGAUCAACUGGUAACAUGUCAUCACUGUAAUCAUGAUGGCAUUCAAAUUUGUAUUAUCUUACUAUAAUGGUAUAAAUCUAAUAAAACAUCAAGGUUUGCUGUUAGCAUAUUUCAUUUGCAAAUUAACGCAUGGGAUCACACAAAUGGUAGAGAUAGUUGUAAUCUAAUGUUGCAUUUAGUAACUUCAUGGAAGUUUAUACUGUUGAUCUUAGGUAAGAAAAGUGAAUUUCCAUGUUUCCUGGUCCUUGGGCAAAUCUCUGUUAUCAUAUCAACACAUUGCUAUUGUUGCAAGGCAAUAAAGGUGAAACUCUUUUGAAGGGAGGUAACUCAUAAGGCAAUGAAAUGUCACAUUAUCUGUAACAGGGAUUGUAAAACUUGAAUUUAUGUUUGUGGUUAAAUGUCGAACUGUUACAGUUUUAACCUGUGCUGGAGACAAAGUUAUUGACCAGUAAUAGUACAAAAACUGGUAAUGGCUGAAUUGCUGAAAAAACAGGGAAAUUGAUAUCAUGUUGUAAUGUCAGACAUAUCUUCUAGAUUUUUUUAGUCCAUUUGGAAGUCUUCAGUUUCAUAACAAAUUCACCACUGAGUGGGAAUGCUGAGAUUUGUUAAAAUAAUGUUUGGCAUGUUUUUCAGAAUGCUUCGUAAAUAAAGUUAAUUUGAUCCUACAGAAUGUUUCUGUGAGAAGUGUCAGAUCUUUUAUAGCACCUGAUGUGAUAAAGUGGGAUGAUUUAAGGCUAUAUGGUUCCUAACAAUAUCAUGUGUGAAUUAUGUUGAAGUUAUCUCCCUUAAAAUUGAUUGGUUUUUUUUUUUUUGGAUAAUAACUUUUUACAUUUGUUAUUACAUGCAUUAUUUUAUUAUUGGAAAGAGGUUUUCAGCUUGGAACUCUUCAUAUAAAGGAGGUAAUUUAAACAAAAGUGUCAUUUGUUUUCAAUAAAAUUUUGGAUUAUAAAUUUUUGUUACUAGUAUCAGAUGAAGUAAAUUGGAAACUAAUUGGCAGGGUAAAAAGUUAGGAAUUAUGGUUACAGACAAUAUAUGGUCUUCAGUGAAGAAGGUAAUGGGAGUUAUCAUUUGGAAAGAUGAGAGAGAUGAAAAAUGGAGGCUGUCAGGGAAACCUACCUGGUCAGCAUGGGUGUCCAUUCAAACAACUCCUAAUUUACACAAGUCAUUAUUUGACUCUAACUUUGACUUUGUUUAAAGUGGUCAACUUGUAUGUUAUUUUACAAGGCUGCUGUUGUCAGUGUUACAUGACACACAAUCAUGUACAACAUUUCUUUUUCAGUUGUCAAUCGGAGAUGAAAUUUUCAAUGAAAUUUCUUAAUUGAUUUUCUAUCAGUUCUGACAGGAUGAUGAGAGCCUGUAGGUGAUGUUCAGCUAGAUGAAUAGGAAUAUUUAUAAAUAUACUGUUAGACAAUACAAUUCCGCCAAUGUGUUUCCUCUUCUAGCUACCCUAUAGUUUACAUGAAGAAAAGCUGGGGGCAAAAUCCAAAAAGGCUUUCAUGUUUUAUGGAAAUAUUUAUUUUUUCAAAAGAUUAUCACUCUCUCCAAAAAUGCUUCAUCUGCGACUGCUAUGGAUGAUCAAUGAUAUUAGGAAUAAAAGUAUAUUUCUUCAGUACUAAGA